CGACCGCUGGCGGCGUGCUUACCACAUGCACGUCGAACGCUGAAGCUCAGCUUUUGUUGGGUGGAUGAGUGGCGAACGGGUGAGUAACACGUGAGUAACCUGCCCCCUUCUUUGGGAUAACGCCCGGAAACGGGUGCUAAUACUGGAUAUUCACUGGUCUUCGCAUGGGGGUUGGUGGAAAGGGUUUUUCUGGUGGGGGAUGGGCUCGCGGCCUAUCAGCUUGUUGGUGGGGUGAUGGCCUACCAAGGCUUUGACGGGUAGCCGGCCUGAGAGGGUGACCGGUCACAUUGGGACUGAGAUACGGCCCAGACUCCUACGGGAGGCAGCAGUGGGGAAUAUUGCACAAUGGGCGCAAGCCUGAUGCAGCGACGCCGCGUGAGGGAUGGAGGCCUUCGGGUUGUGAACCUCUUUCGCUCAUGGUCAAGCCGCAACAAUGGUUGUGGUGGGGGUAGUGGGUAAAGAAGCGCCGGCUAACUACGUG
rnacentral:rRNA from 1 species